GACGAACGCUGGCGGCGUGCUUAACACAUGCAAGUCGAACGGAAAGGCCCUGCUUUUGUGGGGUGCUCGAGUGGCGAACGGGUGAGUAACACGUGAGUAACCUGCCCUUGACUUUGGGAUAACUUCAGGAAACUGGGGCUAAUACCGGAUAGGAGCUCCUGCUGCAUGGUGGGGGUUGGAAAGUUUCGGCGGUUGGGGAUGGACUCGCGGCUUAUCAGCUUGUUGGUGGGGUAGUGGCUUACCAAGGCUUUGACGGGUAGCCGGCCUGGGAGGGUGACCGGCCACAUUGGGACUGAGAUACGGCCCAGACGCCUACGGGAGGCAGCAGUGGGGAAUAUUGCACAAUGGGCGGAAGCCUGAUGCAGCAACGCCGCGUGCGGGAUGACGGCCUUCGGGUUGUAAACCGCUUUCGCCUGUGACGAAGCGUGAGUGACGGUAAUGGGUAAAGAAGCACCGGCUAACUACGU
rnacentral:rRNA from 1 species